GAUGAACGCUGGCGGCGUGCCUAAUACAUGCAAGUCGAGCGAACAGACGAGGAGCUUGCUCCUCUGACGUUAGCGGCGGACGGGUGAGUAACACGUGGAUAACCUACCUAUAAGGCUGGGAUAACUUCGGGAAACCGGAGCUAAUACCGGAUAAUAUAUUGAACCGCAUGGUUCAAUAGUGAAAGACGGUUUUGCUGUCACUUAUAGAUGGAUCCGCGCCGCAUUAGCUAGUUGGUAAGGUAACGGCUUACCAAGGCAACGAUGCGUAGCCGACCUGAGAGGGGGGUUCGCCCCCACAGAAGAACGGAACCGGGCACCAGACCACGGGAGGGGGCAGGAGGGGAGAGUCCGCCAAAGGGGGAAAACGGCAGGAGGAACGGCGCGGGGGGGGUGAAGGGUUUCUGCGGGUAAAAACACUUUUUUAUGGGAGAAAAAAAAGUGUAAAAAACACUCUGCGCCUGUAGGGGACCUAUAAGAAAAACACCGCGAAAAACCGG
rnacentral:rRNA from 1 species